GAUAAAUCAAUAUCAUUAUAAAACCUAUCUCCCUCACCCACAUGCAAAGGCCAAUCAACUUCUCACCACCUCUACUUCUCUCCUUAACUCCAUAACUCACUUGGUAAGAUAGCCAGAUACGUUAACUGCAUUGCAUAACCAGAUGAAUAAUAUAUUGUUCUUCUAAGUAUCAUAUUGUAUUCAUAAUCACUUGAAAUACAAACCCCACUAUCAUAUUCCAAUUAGUAUUCAUGUUCCUCUCAAAUUGUUCAGGCCUGAACAAAAGCAUUGCAUCUCCCAAUACAAAAUAGAGGCAGAAAAAGAGAACAUAGACACCCCAAAUGCAAGAACGCCCAAGCAAUUUCUUGAACAUAAGUAGUUGCCG
rnacentral:misc_RNA from 1 species